rnacentral:rRNA from 1 species
AUGUGUGAGAUGAAGCACCGCUCCGCCGAGUCCGGCAGGGCUGCUGAAGACCAAGCACCGUGGAAGAAGGACUCCGAGGCAGAGCACAUAGGCGGCAGAGCGCCAACGCACCGCCACCAGACGAACUCCGACCACGCCACCAACCGCCGCCAAGCAACCAAAGCAUCACAUCCACCCCAAGCUCACCACGAACGACACCCCAAAGAGGGUGACGACGCCCGGAGCGCCGCUGUCGCUCGAUCCGGCAAGGAUUUGGGCUUUCGCCCGGCAUACGAGCUGGGUGGAAGGAGGAGGGGAAGGAGGCAACCUGGACGGAGCCUACAAGAAGGGUACGGCGCCCUCGGGCGUCGCCGCCGUCGUGGCCAGCACUGCUGGCCUCGGAUUUCUCCGGAGCCACCUCCCACCUCCAGCAGCCAAAGAGGUACAACUCCGGCGACAAAGGCCGCCCAAAGCAGGACCAUUCGAGGCAGCCCUGGUUGA